rnacentral:rRNA from 3 species
UGGGGGAUAUUGCACAAUGGGCGAAAGCCUGAUGCAGCGACGCCGCGUGGGGGAUGAAGGCUUUCGGGUUGUAAACCUCUUUCGCUAUCGAACAAGGCCCGCUUAGGGUGGGUUGAGGGUAGGUGGAGAAGAAGCGCCGGCUAACUACGUGCCAGCAGCCGCGGUAAUACGUAGGGCGCGAGCGUUGUCCGGAAUUAUUGGGCGUAAAGGGCUUGUAGGCGGCUUGUUGCGCCUGCUGUGAAAACGCGGGGCUUAACUUCGCGCGUGCAGUGGGUACGGGCAGGCUUGAGUGUGGUAGGGGUGACUGGAAUUCCAGGUGUAGCGGUGGAAUGCGCAGAUAUCUGGAGGAACACCGAUGGCGAAGGCAGGUCACUGGGCCAUUACUGACGCUGAGGAGCGAAAGCAUGGGUAGCGAACAGG